AUACCGUGAAACUGCGAAUGGCUCAUUAAAUCAGUUAUCGUUUAUUUGAUAGUACCUUACUACUUGGAUAACCGUGGUAAUUCUAGAGCUAAUACAUGCUGAAAACCCCGACUUCGGGAGGGGUGUAUUUAUUAGAUAAAAAACCAACGCCCUUCGGGGCUUCUUGGUGAUUCAUGAUAACUUCACGGAUCGCAUGGCCUUGCGCCGGCGACGGUUCAUUCAAAUUUCUGCCCUAUCAACUUUCGAUGGUAAGGUAUUGGCUUACCAUGGUUUCAACGGGUAACGGGGAAUUAGGGUUCGAUUCCGGAGAGGGAGCCUGAGAAACGGCUACCACAUCCAAGGAAGGCAGCAGGCGCGCAAAUUACCCAAUCCCGACACGGGGAGGUAGUGACAAUAAAUACUGAUACAGGGCUCUUUUGGGUCUUGUAAUUGGAAUGAGUACAAUUUAAACCUCUUAACGAGGAACAAUUGGAUGGNNNNNNNNNNNNNNNNNNNNGCGGUAAUUCCAGCUCCAAUAGCGUAUAUUAAAGUUGUUGCAGUUAAAAAGCUCGUAGUUGAAACUUGGGCCUGGCUGGCAGGUCCGCCUCACCGCGUGUACUUGUCCGGCCGGGCCUUUCCUUCUGGAGAACCUCAUGCCCUUCACUGGGUGUGUUGGGGAACCAGGACUUUUACUUUGAAAAAAUUAGAGUGUUCAAAGCAGGCCUUUGCUCGAAUACGUUAGCAUGGAAUAAUAGAAUAGGACGUGCGGUCCUAUUUUGUUGGUUUCUAGGACCGCCGUAAUGAUUAAUAGGGACAGUCGGGGGCAUCAGUAUUCAAUUGUCAGAGGUGAAAUUCUUGGAUUUAUUGAAGACUAACUACUGCGAAAGCAUUUGCCAAGGAUGUUUUCAUUAAUCAGUGAACGAAAGUUAGGGGAUCGAAGACGAUCAGAUACCGUCGUAGUCUUAACCGUAAACUAUGCCGACUAGGGAUCGGGCGAUGUUCUUUUUCUGACUCGCUCGGCACCUUACGAGAAAUCAAAGUUUUUGGGUUCUGGGGGAGUAUGGUCGCAAG
rnacentral:rRNA from 1 species